GACGUAGGCAGCAAGCGUUGUUCGGAAUUACUGGGCGUAAAGAGUGUGUAGGCGGUGCUCUAAGUUCGGUGUGAAAUCUCCUGGCUCAACUGGGAGGGUGCGCCGGAAACUGGGGUGCUGGAGCGCGGGAGAGGAAAGCGGAAUUCCUGGUGUAGCGGUGAAAUGCGUAGAUAUCAGGAGGAACACCAGUGGCGAAGGCGGUUGCCUGGAGCUUUGCUGACGCUGAGGCGCGAAAGCGUGGGGAGCGAUCCGG
rnacentral:rRNA from 1 species